GACAGAGGGUGCAAACGUUGUUCGGAAUUACUGGGCGUAAAGCGCGUGUAGGCUGCUCCGAUAGUCGGAUGUGAAAGCCCUGGGCUCAACCUAGGAAGUGCAUUCGAUACUGCGGAGCUGGAGUCCUGGAGAGGAAGGCGGAAUUCUCGGUGUAGAGGUGAAAUUCGUAGAUAUCGAGAGGAACACCGGUGGCGAAGGCGACUUCCUGGCCCGUUCUUGACGCUGAGGCGCGAAAGCUAGGGGAGCAAACGGG
rnacentral:rRNA from 1 species